UACGUAGGUGGCAAGCGUUAUCCGGAAUUAUUGGGCGUAAAGCGCGCGCAGGUGGUUUCUUAAGUCUGAUGUGAAAGCCCACGGCUCAACCGUGGAGGGUCAUUGGAAACUGGGAGACUUGAGUGCAGAAGAGGAAAGUGGAAUUCCAUGUGUAGCGGUGAAAUGCGUAGAGAUAUGGAGGAACACCAGUGGCGAAGGCGG
rnacentral:rRNA from 1 species